rnacentral:rRNA from 1 species
CAGUCGCCGCGGUAAUACAGAGGGUGCGAGCGUUAAUCGGAUUUACUGGGCGUAAAGCGUGCGUAGGCGGCUUCUUAAGUCGGAUGUGAAAUCCCUGAGCUUAACUUAGGAAUUGCAUUCGAUACUGGGAAGCUAGAGUAUGGGAGAGGAUGGUAGAAUUCCAGGUGUAGCGGUGAAAUGCGUAGAGAUCUGGAGGAAUACCGAUGGCGAAGGCAGCCAUCUGGCCUAAUACUGACGCUGAGGUACGAAAGCAUGGGGAGCAAACAGGAUUAGAUACCCCGGUAGUCCCUGUCUCUAUACA